rnacentral:rRNA from 1 species
UACGUAGGGGGCUAGCGUUGUCCGGAAUUAUUGGGCGUAAAGAGCUCGUAGGCGGUCUGUCACGUCGGCUGUGAAAACCCGAGGCUCAACCUCGGGCCUGCAGUCGAUACGGGCAAACUAGAGUACUGCAGGGGAGACUGGAAUUCCUGGUGUAGCGGUGAAAUGCGCAGAUAUCAGGAGGAACACCAGCGGCGAAGGCGGCGCUCUGGGCCGGAACUGACGCUGAGGAGCGAAAGCGUGGGUAGCAAACAGG